rnacentral:rRNA from 1 species
ACGUAGGGUGCGAGCGUUAAUCGGAAUUGCUGGGCGUAAAGCGUGCGCAGGCGGUUCGCUGAGACAGGUGUGAAAUCCCCGGGCUUAACCUGGGAAUGGCGCUUGUGACUGGCGGGCUGGAGUACGGCAGAGGGGGGUGGAAUUUCAGGUGUAGCGGUGAAAUGCGUAGAGAUGUGGAGGAAUACCAGUGGCGAAGGCAGCCCCCUGGGCCGAUACUGACGCUCA